CCCCAGCUUCUUUUCCAGUGUCCUUCUGCAACUUUGGCUUCGCUGUUUGUCUACAACUUUUAUUUGUUAGUUGUGUGAAGGACUGAACCUAUAAAGUUUAGAAGCUGUCUACAAAUUCCAACAAUAGCAAAUUGAAAAGCAAAGGUGCAAUGAGAGUUAAAGAUGUGUGCAUUGUUUUCAGAAUUACUUGCGAUGUGCAAACAAUAGAAGAGUGAGCUUAUCUUCAUUCUCAUGAAGUUCUC